rnacentral:sRNA from 1 species
UCAAUCAUUGUAAAUGAAGCGCCUACAUC